CCGGCCCGCGUUUCACUUCAGUGAUGUGCGCGCGGGCUCUAGCUGCUGCGCUCGAGCAGCCUCAAUACGGCGGUUGAUGGAACUCCACCCACGAGCAGAGGAGGCCGGAGCUGAGGGGCGGGCAGGCAGGCAGGCAGGCGGGUCGACAGGCAGCACACAAACAGCACUGAGUCUAAAUCAGUGCCUUGUGAUGACUAUGGGAGAAGAACAGCCUCUCCUCUGAAAGCUGCGUGUGCUCAUCAGAAGGAUCUGGAUACAGCACAGUAGAGGUGGGAGUGAUUUGCACAAUGUAGAGCUCUGGCCCAGAGCAUAAACUCCCACUCACUCAGCCAGUAAGUGUUGGAAAUGAAUAGACUGGAACAGAGGGCACACAAAUAACAGACAUACAGACACUGUGCAGAGUGGAAGAGAGCUCAACAUGGUGAAAUGGGAAGAGGAGCACAACAACACAGGCUCAUCCAGGACGACUGAACAUACACUUAUCACAAACAGACAAUCCCAAAUGAGAAAUUGAACAGACUGACUCCAGUGGAGCCCGUCUGCAUCCCAUGCUGGUGACCAGCAUCCAAUCACCAGCAGCCCAUGCUGGAAUAUGUCACAUAUGUAAAUCUGCAGGCCGUCCUCAAAAACUGAGUGAUGGUGCAAGAGUGAGACCAGUGAGGGAGGCCACCAAGACACCUGUGACUACUCUGAAGAGUUAAAAGCUUCAGCAGCUGACAUGGGAGAGACUCUGCGUACAACCACUAUUGAAGCAAGCUCAUUAAAUCUCAACUACAGUUCACCCAAAUGCAUGUUGGAGACUCCAAGAUCUCUUCUAUACAAAUCCAUUUGCAUAUUUAAACAUAACAUUUACAAAAACCUGUAAUACAAAAAACUGUCAUAACGUAAACAAUCAGUUGAGAAAGUUUCUAGGUGACAUAUUAAAGUUUUUACCAUAUUCACCUGUGAUGUCUUGCCCCAAAGCAAUAAAUUGACCAAUUAAUUUACCUUGA